AAACGAUGAUUACUCACGAUGAGUGUCCACACAGAUUGAUACGGUUUAUGUAAAAGAGACGAUACUGGGUCUGUAGCUCAGGUGGUUAGAGCGUUCGCCUGAUAAGCGAGAGGUCGGUGGUUCGAGUCCACUCAGACCCACCAAUUCCUUUUAGGGAGUUGGCAUACAGUAUCGACACCUUGAUGGGGCUAUAGCUCAGCUGGGAGAGCGCCUGCCUUGCACGCAGGAGGUCUGCGGUUCGAUCCCGCAUAGCUCCACCAUCUUUAAGCGCAUUCGAUGAGUGCUUUUAAAAAUGGUUACUUCAUUAGAAGUGAUUAGCUCUUUAACAAUUUGGAAAGCUGACAAAACAACAAUUUAUUGUUGUUUGUAAAGUUCUCAAUGUUUGUCUUUAAGACAAACACCAAAAUAACACAUUCAAGUGUUCUUGGAAUUUGAGUCCGGCAAAAUCGAGUCUGCAUCAUGUAUAAAAAUWGCAGACAACUUUGGUGACUUGUUCAUCAGCUCGAAACUCCUUCGGGUUGUAU
rnacentral:misc_RNA from 1 species